GUGUGUGUGUGGAUAGUGUUCAGCACCAGGGACAGGUGUGUUUGCCUGUGUGUGUGUGUGUGUGUGUGUGGAUAGUGUUCAGCACCAGGGACAGGUGUGUUUGCCU
rnacentral:pre_miRNA from 1 species